rnacentral:rRNA from 1 species
UACGUAGGGCGCAAGCGUUAUCCGGAAUUAUUGGGCGUAAAGAGCUCGUAGGCGGUUUGUCGCGUCUGCCGUGAAAGUCCGGGGCUCAACUCCGGAUCUGCGGUGGGUACGGGCAGACUAGAGUGAUGUAGGGGAGACUGGAAUUCCUGGUGUAGCGGUGGAAUGCGCAGAUAUCAGGAGGAACACCGGUGGCGAAGGCGGGUCUCUGGGCAGUAACUGACGCUGAGGAGCGAAAGCGUGGGGAGCAAACAGG